GACGAACGCUGGCGGCGUGCCUAAUACAUGCCAGUUGAGCGAUGAAGAUUGGUGCUUGCCCCAAUUUGAAGAGCAGCGAACGGGUGAGUAACGCGUGGGGAAUCUGCCUUUGAGCGGGGGACAACAUUUGGAAACGAAUGCUAAUACCGCAUAACAACUUUAAACAUAAGUUUUAAGUUUGAAAGAUGCAAUUGCAUCACUCAAAGAUGAUCCCGCGUUGUAUUAGCUAGUUGGUGAGGUAAAGGCUCACCAAGGCGAUGAUACAUAGCCGACCUGAGAGGGUGAUCGGCCACAUUGGGACUGAGACACGGCCCAAACUCCUACGGGAGGCAGCAGUAGGGAAUCUUCGGCAAUGGACGAAAGUCUGACCGAGCAACGCCGCGUGAGUGAAGAAGGGUUUCGGAUCGUAAAACUCUGUUGGUAGAGAAGAACGUUGGUGAGAGUGGAAAGCUCAUCAAGUGACGGUAACUACCCAGAAAGGGACGGCUAACUACGUG
rnacentral:rRNA from 1 species